UUCGUUUUGUGUAUCGCGAGUUCUCCGAGACUUGUCCGUACCUUCUCUAGGGGUGGAUCUCAUCUUGGGUCUCAGGUUUCCUGGGCACAGAAGACCCCCAGGCUGGGCUCUGGGCUUGCGCAAUCCUGCCUGGAGCCGGACAAAGAACCACCCAAUCCCACGCCUCUCCCAACACUCCUCUCAGCUUGAUUCUAUCCCCUCAGCCCCACCCAACUCCCCCAUCACACCGCCGACCCAACCCCCAUCCCUAAUGGAGCCGCGCACGCCCUCGCGCCCCAGGUAUACUCCGGGUGGCCAGCGCUGGUGGACCGCUCAGGUGAGCUGCUUCAACGGAGGCAAAACCUGGAAGCCAUUUUUCAGAGCCCUAGGAGCCAGGAAAGGAGCGCGAACCCCAAGCCGGCCCACUCGCCACGGCGCACGAGAGAGCUCAGCGAAGCGGGAGCCCAUCCCGUAAUUCAAACAAUCGAACAAGUCCGAAACAAAAUCCUCAGUCCGGAACUGACUGAGGACUCGUUUCCCAUCCUCAUCCCUCAGACCCCGAAUCUGGCUCGUCUGUGCCCCGCCCGCCCCCCCCCCCAAGAUGGAGCUGAGCCGCGGAUGUCACCUUUCGGUCGGCUUCCCCCCACCGCUCCCCCUGCAGGACCAGGGCCCAUUCGACCCCCUGCCGCAUCCCGGCUCCGGGUAGGUGGUCGCGCCCCACCCCGCCCGGGCUCCACUCACCACAAGGGUCAGCAGUAGCUGCCUGCAGACAGCUCCGCGCAGGGAGCUCUGGGGCCCGGCGGCAGCCAUCGGGGUGCGGGGCCGGAGAGGAGGACGCAGGCACCGGGCGGGACGUAAGAGACCAGAGCCCGCCGAGGUGCGGCGGCGCGGAGGUGCACUUCUUUCAGCUGCUCGUUACGUCGCCCGGGACUUUUUCAGGUUUGCGUGCCGGAGGGCGUUUUCACUCCUGAGACAGGAUUGGACUCGGGAGACGCGGAGACGCCCCUCCUCGUUUUUUCUCAAGUUUUAUCACCGCGAGAAGCUCUGGGGAGCUGCCCAAGACUGCCCUUAGGCUUCUCGGAGGCCGCGCCGGGUGCUCGCUCUCGGGAAAGCUGUCCAGGUCACCCCCUCUCUGCCAGCUCUCCCACGCCCCUCCCCCGCCCCCGGCUGCCACGCCUUUCGCGCAAAGCUCAGUAGGGUCUUCCUCGCAGACAAUGCUUGGCGCGUUCCUUCUGCGGAAGCCAAAACCGCCUGCAGGGAUCCCUGCCCCAACACGGGCGCUCCUGGGUGCCAGCAACACCCUUGUCAUUGGACCAGCGGAUCCUCCCUUCAACAUCUGAUCAAAUGCUGGGCAAAGUCUCCUGGUUAAUGCAAAAUAUAUGUAUUCUACCCAAAUUUGCGUCACACGAUAAGAUAAAGGACGGGAGGGGAAAUUAUCCCAAGAGGCAUGAAUAAGCUGACACUUGUUAUACCAGAAAUUAAAAGCAAAUAAAGGAAAUUCUGAUAUCUUACCAUUUUCACGCACCCAAAAUAUGAGGGAUUACACUCAAAGCUUUCAUUUCCUGCCAAUCUCGUGGCCUUAUCUGAGUCUUCUAAGAAUUUGUUCUUCUUAUAUGAAAUUAUUGAUUUGAGUAAUUACCUGGUAAUUAUACUAAGACGCAAUUUUUCGGUUUGUGGUAAAAGAAAAAUCUACCACACAAAAGCUUCUAGUCUAAAAUGAGGCUUACAGAUUCAAUAUCAUUCGACAAAUGUUUAUCACUGCCCGGAGUUGCACAGGCACUGGGGCUGGAGGAAAGAAAAUGCACAAAACCCAGUUCCUGCCCAAAGCAAUUCAAAGUCUAUGAGGGAAUAAAGGCAUUCAUCAUAGCCCAGUAUGCUAAACCUUUUAAUAGAAAGGAAGCUUACAACACUAGGGCACAUUCCUUUGUUUCUCUCUAGACUGAGUUUUGUGUCCUCUAAGGCCCCACCUAGUAGACUCAGGAUGAACUCCCUCUUACAUAUGUGCUGUUGCUUCUUAAAGUCCGUGCACAAGUUCCAAGGUCAGGACCCUCAGACACUGCAGAUUAAUCAGAGAAGGCACUGAGGCCUUCAUUCAUCCCACCCUAGUCACCCCAAUAGGCUGCUUGUCUAAGCCACGUGUUUCCCUAAAACUCACAGGCCUAAGCUCUCAGGUCUCAAACCCUAAGCUGAGCUUCCCAGUCCCACCUCUGAGGCAUGCAAGGCUCCUAUGCACCCAUCAGAGACCCUGUUUCACCUCUGGAGGCCUCGUAUGGAAGAGCUCUUCCAACCUCAGAGAACGCUCUCCAUACUUCACUCCAACCAUUUUCACCUCCCAUCCUCCAGACCCUCACCUUGACCCAUGACCUCAAGACAGAGCCUCUCAAAGUGUCCUCUGGCCCCAGGCCGACUUUAGAAACAAGCCAGGAUGAUAGCUCUCAUCAGAAGGCAAAUUGGCUAGCACUUGAUUUUGGACCCUCAGCCUCCAGAACUAAAUAAUGUUUGAGAUAAGAACCAAGGAGAAGGGUAGGAACAUGUUUUGGGCAAAGACGAUAGUAAUAGCCCUAGCGGAGCUCUCAGGAGUCUUGUAAGGGUUUCCCACAUCAAGGAAGUAGGAAGGAGUUUCUUCAGAACCACUGGAUGGAAGACCUGUGCUGAGAAUCAGGUUAGAAAGGUAGUCUUCUAACAAACCAGGCUGAGGAGUUGAAUUUCAUCCUAGAGGAGAUGGAGAAUCAUCCACUCAAUCUGUAAGAAAGAUGAUCACUUUGGGUGAGUUAAUGGGCUCAUUAAUUUCAUUAAUGAACCUGUUUCUGCCAUGAUAUAGCUUUUCCUUAAUAUUUAGGAAAUAAAAGAUUUGAAAUGUUUUUCUUUAUGCUCAGUAGCCCUAGUUUUCAGUGAUUUCAACUUUGUCUAAUAGUGUCUGACCUGAUUACUACUGUCUUGCACGUGACUAAAACCAUAAGAUAGCUAUCAUUUGCUGUAUAAUUAAGGCGAUUGUUAAACCUACUGACUAUAUAUGACAGUUACUCUGAGCUUCUAUGUUUGGCUUCUACAAAAUAAAAAUUAUAGGAAUCUAUUCCAGAAAUAGUGUAAGAAAGCAUAUUGGUGAUAUUUUCUAUUUGUAUUGUAAAAUUCUAGGUGCAAUAUGAAUACUGAAUAAUAACAUUAUGGAGUAUAACUAUCUUGGAAUUUCCUGUUUUGCUAAGACAUGUAUUUGUCCACCAUGAGUAUAUUAAAGUCCUAAUAAAAAGCAAUGUGUUUUUAUAAUUUAGGAAAGAAUCUUCAUAGGCAGUUAUAAUUAUAAAUAUGACUUGAAGACAAAUUUAAGAAUUGCUUUUAUUUCUGCUGUGGAGAUUAUAAUUUUAAAUGAAAUUGUUGAAAAUUUAUUUAAAACCUGAGCUUUAGUUUGAAUAUAGUUAGAACUGGAUGCCUUCUAUAAUAAAAUUAAUUUUAAAUCAU